CAAUAAGCGGAGGAAAAGAAACCAACAGGGAUUGCCCUAGUAACGGCGAGUGAAGCGGCAACAGCUCAAAUUUGAAAUCUGGCCCCCCCGGGGCCCGAGUUGUAAUUUGGAGAGGGUGCUUUGGCGUCGGCAGCGGUCCAAGUCCCUUGGAACAGGGCGUCGCAGAGGGUGAGAACCCCGUACGCGGCCGCAGGCCCUCGCCGUGUGAAGCCCCUUCGAAGAGUCGAGUUGUUUGGGAAUGCAGCUCUAAGCGGGAGGUAAAUUUCUUCUAAAGCUAAAUACCGGCCAGAGACCGAUAGCGCACAAGUAGAGUGAUCGAAAGAUGAAAAGCACUUUGGAAAGAGAGUCAAAAAGCACGUGAAAUUGUUGAAAGGGAAGCGCUUGCAGCCAGACGUGCCUGCAGUUGCUCACCCGGGCCUCGGCCCGGGGCACUCUUCUGCAGGCAGGCCAGCAUCGGCCCGGGCGGCCGGACAAAGGCCCUGGGAACGUGGCUCCCCCCGGGGAGUGUUAUAGCCCAGGGCGCAAUGCGGCCAGCCCGGACCGAGGUCCGCGCGCAUGCUAGGAUGCUGGCGUAAUGGCUGUAAGCGGCCCGUCUUGAAACACGGACCAAGGAGUCUAACAUCUAUGCGAGUGUUUGGGUGUCAAGCCCGGGCGCGCAAUGAAAGUGAACGGAGGUGGGAACCCCUCGAGGGCGCACCAUCGACCGAUCCUGAUGUCUUCGGAUGGAUUUGAGUAAGAGCAUAGCUGUUGGGACCCGAAAGAUGGUGAACUAUGCCUGAAUAGGGUGAAGCCAGAGGAAACUCUGGUGGAGGCUCGCAGCGGUUCUGACGUGCAAAUCGAUCGUCAAAUUUGGGCAUAGGGGCGAAAGACUAAUC
rnacentral:rRNA from 1 species